ACGGGUGAGUAAUGUCUGGGAAACUGCCUGAUGGAGGGGGAUAACUACUGGAAACGGUAGCUAAUACCGCAUGACGUCUUCGGACCAAAGUGGGGGACCUUCGGGCCUCACGCCAUCAGAUGUGCCCAGAUGGGAUUAGCUAGUAGGUGGGGUAAUGGCUCACCUAGGCGACGAUCCCUAGCUGGUCUGAGAGGAUGACCAGCCACACUGGAACUGAGACACGGUCCAGACUCCUACGGGAGGCAGCAGUGGGGAAUAUUGCACAAUGGGCGCAAGCCUGAUGCAGCCAUGCCGCGUGUAUGAAGAAGGCCUUCGGGUUGUAAAGUACUUUCAGCGAGGAGGAAGGCAUUGUGGUUAAUAACCGCAGUGAUUGACGUUACUCGCAGAAGAAGCACCGGCUAACUCCGUGCCAGCAGCCGCGGUAAUACGGAGGGUGCAAGCGUUAAUCGGAAUUACUGGGCGUAAAGCGCACGCAGGCGGUUGAUUAAGUCAGAUGUGAAAUCCCCGAGCUUAACUUGGGAACUGCAUUUGAAACUGGUCAGCUAGAGUCUUGUAGAGGGGGGUAGAAUUCCAGGUGUA
rnacentral:rRNA from 1 species